rnacentral:lncRNA from 10 species
CAGCACGCUCUACAACAGCUGACCACAAUAAAACAUCAGCAUCAGAGUCAAGUAAAUAAGUUCCUCCUUCACAGGUGUUUUCUUUAAACUGGCCAAGCCACAACCCCCACAGGAGAACCUACAGAAUAAGGCCCAUGGACCCUACUUAAAGGCAGAGUCCCACAGCCCCGCCCUCUCUUGCUGGCUCUCUACCGCCUCCAGACUUCCUAUCCACCUCCACUGGGCGCCACUAACCUCUCUGGGUCUGUAUCAGAAGAGUAACUGGCUCACUGGAUUCCCUCUGCCUAGACUACCCUUCCCCUUAUUUUCAUAUUGCUAAUCCUCUUACCUCAUUCAAGUCUUUUCUCAAAUGUCCUUUAAAUGUGGUCUACCAUGGCCAUCAUAUUUAAAAUGUAAACCCUUAGCCCAUUUAAGAUGUCCAUGAUUUUCUUCUAUUGUACUCUAUUUUUGCUCCUUACCGUAUCUUAUCCACAAGGAUACUAUGUAGUUUACAUAUUCAACUGUCUAACCUUAGUCCUUCUGAGAUAAAAGAAGCUCCACCAUAGAACAGGGAUUCUUCUAUGUUUGUUCAGUGUAGGAUAAUUAACACGUAGUGUAUAUUCUGUAAAUAUUCACUGGAAAAAUAAAUAAAUGCCUUCUUCUUAAGCCAACAGUCACUCUUCUUUCUAAGCCUCAAGGAAAAGUAUAUCUUAAAUAUCUUAUUUUAUAAAAACAUUCAAAUAGGGAAAAUAUAUUUUUAAAAAACAGUAUGAAAAAACUCAUACCAAAAAUAUAUUUGGCUUACUAAACUUAUGAGUUCAAAUAAAUUCUUUAAAAUGAGAGAGACACUUCAGCAUGAACAAAAAGCAAAAUCCCACAGGAGGCCAGAUCACUUAAAGCAAGGAGUUCCA